UGAGCUAUUUGAUUAACAUUGUUCUGCGCUUGCUGUUUCGCUAAUGAAAGAACAAAAGCGAAUAUUUGGCCUGUAGGCACAGAGGUCACAAGGCAAAAACCAGGGACAGCCAUUUUAAACAUUUAUCAGAAAUAUGUUUUAUACUUUAUGCACGCUGCGAACUUCUUCCACUGAGAAAGUUUAGUCAUGGAUCAUUAUUUAAUCAUAAUAACCUAUCUGAUUAAUGCGUUCAUCAUACGAUUCGAUGUUUAUUGAUGACCUAAGGAUAUAAAACAACUUAUUAAAUGUCAUAUUUUGCAUGCCCGGGGCAAGACAAAGUCUAUGCGAUUGCGGCUCUGGAAUUGUUGAUGUUUGCACUGGCGAAACACCUUGGAGACUGGGAACGAGAUGAUCUAAUUGAAUGACAAUAUUAUGCCAAGGUCUAAUUCAAUUUGCAAUUUGCAUUGCUUGGGAAGCGCUGCAGGUGGAGGAACAUGGCUGGGACCUGGGUUGAAUCUUAAACAAACACGGCAAUUACAGCAAACGGAUGCACUUGUCUGC